UACGGGGAGGAUGCAACGUUUGGCAUGAAUAUUGGGCGUAAAGGCGCACGUAGGCGGCUUUGCAAGUCGGAUGUGAAAUCCCUCGGCUCAACCAAGGAAGUGCAUCCGAAACUGCAGAGCUUGAGUACCAAAGAGGAUCGCGGAAUUCCCGGUGUAGAGGUGAAAUUCGUAGAUAUCGGGAGGAACACCAGUGGCGAAGGCGGCGAUCUGGGUGGAUACUGACGCUGAGGUGCGAAAGCGUGGGGAGCAAACAGG
rnacentral:rRNA from 1 species